rnacentral:rRNA from 1 species
UACGGAGGAUGCGAGCGUUAUCCGGAUUUAUUGGGUUUAAAGGGUGCGUAGGCGGAUCGUUAAGUCAGUGGUCAAAUUGAGGGGCUCAACCCCUUCCCGCCAUUGAAACUGGCGAUCUUGAGUGGAAGAGAAGUAUGCGGAAUGCGUGGUGUAGCGGUGAAAUGCAUAGAUAUCACGCAGAACCCCGAUUGCGAAGGCAGCAUGCCGGCUUCCUACUGUCACUGAGGCUCGAAAGCGUGGGGAGCAAACAGG